GGGAAAAUUAGUGCAGAAAAUCCACAAUGGUGAUAGUGUAGUUUAUGUGAAAGGGAGGGAAAUUUGUCAGGAACCACAUUUAACUCCAGCAAUUCAA